AGCCCAGAGCCCAGCACCACCAGGUGACGUGCUCACAUUCACCAAGCACCUCAUUCGUGCUGGGCACCAGGGUACGGGUGUUACACACCCUCAGCAUUUGAUCCCCUCAGCAACACAAGUGCUUGCAAUUUGUCCUCCUCCACGAAGAGCUCCGACUCUACUCAUUCCAUCGAAGCCCCCAACCUCUCUGCCAACACACAGCUGAGUGACCCCCUGGCUCAGUCUGGUCACAGCUGACACUCCACUCAGGCAAGGGGUGUCGUGGAGACUCGGAACUAUACAUCCCCCAAGGUGAUGCUACCUUCAGGAAUCCUCAGCUGUUAGGCUUUACACUGGGAUAACCAAGAAUCUGUAUUUUUAGUGGUACACAUUCACUGCGCUCAAGUCACUAGCUGGUAUCAUACACACCCAGUGCUUUCUCACGUCUGGCUGAUAGAUGAAACUCAAAAAGCUGUCAUUGAGACAGUCCAGUUUGAUCUCUGUGCCCCUACUAAGGUAAAUAUAUGGUAAUUUAAUAAUGAUGAUGAUGAUGAUGAUGAUGAUGAUGAUUGUAGACAGAAGCACAAAACUUAAUUGAAUUACUUGAAACGGCCACACAAAGCCCAAGGGCAUCUGGAGAUUUCCUGACCUAUAUUCCAGUGUCAUGUAUCUGGCUCAGAACUGGACAGUCCCGAGACAUGUUCUCAUAAAGCCUCUCAAAGAUCUUUGUGAAGGGGCCAAGCAGGUGAUUCAAGUGCUGCCUUGUCAAGAGCGACAGUCACAGGAAAAAAAGCAAAACCAGCUUCCUAGGAACCCAGAUGCAACCGGAGAAGCCUUCUGAGUUCCUUGAUAAAAUAUAUAAGAAGAGGACUGCUUUGUAGGAAUUCAUCCGGAGCCGCUCAAAUGUUUUUGUGCCUGAUGUCUGGAAAGAAAUAUACGUCGGCGAAGGAAGGCUUUUGCUAGACUCGUGCCUAGGUAUUCUCAAGCCUGGAGCACGGCUUUAUUUUCUUUUAUUUUUUUUAGGUUCCCAUCCGUCAACUGCAAUCACUUUUAAACAAUGACUAAAACUAUGAACACAGUCCACAGUGAGGCUCCUCAGCCCCCACUCCAAGGCUGGGAACAAAUGGCAUUUCAGUGUCAUUUUUUUUUUUUUUUAAAGAAUGGGGGCCACGCUUCUUGCAUUUUUUUGAGAUGUUACUGCAGAGUAUUAGAUUUAAUAAUUAACAAAAAUGAGAAGUGAACGAAUCGCGCGGCACCUCAAGAGCCCAGUGCUACUCUGAUGGGAGAAAAAAAACUGCUGUUCUAAUUGAAGGAAAGGUUUCUCUAUAAAAUAAAGCAACUCCCUGUUAGGCAGUCCGUCGUUACAGUACUGUAUUUGACUGUAGUACCCAUAUGGGCAUGUCCUGAGGUCCGCUUAGUAAACACAUUUUUCCUGGACACGCACGGUGCAUCGGUGUGCUUGCCCCAAAGACAGAUGCCCCUUAAAUAUGAGUGUUUACUCCACCAGCAUGGAACAUUUGCCUUAUUUUAGCCACAGUCUUAAAAAAAAAAAAAAAAAAAAAAGGCAGCAUCAUGAUUUCCAAAAAGGGAGUGACAUUUGGGGCAGCUCUUGUCAUGCGCCCUCCCCAGCUUAGCAGAUCCGCCCAGGACAGCCGCGCCGCGCGUCAGGGACCCUCGCGGCGGCGGCCAAGGCCCUUGCUGACGCGCGGCCGGUCUUUUCUGGGCAGCGGGGGGCUCGCCACACCCCGCCCCCGGCCGGAGCCAGACCUUUACUUUAUUUGGUUCACUACGCGAAACGCCACCGUGAGCCACAAUCAAAAAAAAAAAAAAAAAAAAGUAAAAAAAAGAAAAAGCUACCAUUUGACGAUUCUGAUCUGGCCCCGAUGUUUUCCAACGGCCUCUGGGUUUGUAAGAAGAUACGGAGGUCCCGAAGCCCCUUUCCUGCGUGACGGUUGCAGGCUGCGCGUAAAGAGUUUCUCGCGUGCAAGCCCUGAGGACUCCGGACCGUGUUCCCGUGCUGGAGUCCUACCGAGCUUCCAGCACACAUAGUCUCUCUCUCAGGCUUUGGAGAACACGAGAGGCCCCAAACCAAGACUGUGCAACAAAAUGCUGAUUGAUCCAGACCCAGACCAUCCCUACUCCUACAAUUCACUUUUCUGCAGAACUCUUACUGGUGUGGCUAGUACUUCAAAAUCAUACAAUGAAAGAAGAGGGAAGGCGUGUCUUCUCACACUGUUCCCUAUGAAGAAAAGGCGAGCAAAUGAGGGUGACUCAGGACUUCUAGUGGCCUACACGCGACUGAACAUUUUUCUGAAUGAUUCCACGUAUACACUUUGGAAUUAGGAAGAGAAACAUUUUACUCUUCACUAACCAAAUAAAACUGUCUAUAAAUCAUAUGCAAAACAACUUUGAGUAACGAGGGACUUAAGUCUAGGAAUUGAAGAGUUCUGUAUUUUCCCUUUAACUUUUUCCCUCCUUUGGGAAAUAAACAAAGACAUCUGCCACAUCAA